CUUGUGCACUUCUGAAAAUUCUACAGAAUUAGCCAUUAGAGUUAUCAGCCAUAGUCGAGUUGACUCGAGACUAAAUGGAGAUCGACUCAAGAUAACUAUAAAUCAGCUCAAUAGAAGUAGGGUCAACUCGAGGUCUGGCUAAAAGAAUAUAGUUUUCUAUCUUUUUUAAGAGAGUCAACUCUAGAUCAAGUAGAAAUCUACUUUAGGUCAAUACUAAAAAAUUCUACUCUAUGUCUAUUUGAUAGAGUCAACUCGAUAAAAGUAGAGGUCAACUCUCAAAUUGUGCCACUUUAUAUUUAUGUGCUAGAGUUGGCUCUUUGAAGCUUGG
rnacentral:lncRNA from 1 species